UCCGAAUUGGUGUAGUGGCUAACAUUUGACGCUCUCAAAAGAUUUCAUUAUCACAAGAACCGUCAAGCCCGGGGUUCGAUUCCCCGAUUCGGAG